rnacentral:rRNA from 1 species
GACGAACGCUGGCGGCGUGCUUAACACAUGCAAGUCGAACGAUGAAGCUGGAGCUUGCUCCGGUAGAUUAGCGGCGAACGGGUGAGUAACACGUGAGCAAUCUGCCCUUGACUCUGGGAUAACUGCGGGAAACUGUAGCUAAUACCGGAUAUGAGAUCUGAAGGCAUCUUCGGGUUUGGAAAGAAUUUCGGUCAAGGAUGAGCUCGCGGCCUAUCAGCUAGUUGGUGAGGUAAUGGCUCACCAAGGCGACGACGGGUAGCCGGCCUGAGAGGGUGACCGGCCACACUGGAACUGAGACACGGUCCAGACUCCUACGGGAGGCAGCAGUGGGGAAUAUUGCACAAUGGGCGAAAGCCUGAUGCAGCAACGCCGCGUGAGGGAUGAAGGCCUUCGGGUUGUAAACCUCUUUUAGCAGGGAAGAAGCGAAAGUGACGGUACCUGCAGAAAAAGCACCGGCUAACUACGUGCCAGCCGCCGCCGUAA